AAUUGUGAUAUAUGUUAUUAUAUUUUAUAUGCGGUAUUUUUUAAUAUUUUCCCCACGUACAAUAUGGCGCAAUUAUCCGCGUAUCCGAAUUUGGUUUUGGGGUUUUUUAGAUAAUAUAUAAAUUAUAUAUAUAAUAAAUAUAAAACCGGUAAUACCAGCGAAUUUUAUAAUAAUUUGCAUUUAAACGGUUUUAUUUUUAUUAUAAAUUUUUUAUAUUUAACAUUGGUUUAACGUUCCGUUAUAAAAUUUUCCGUCCAUUUUAUUAUAUUAUUUGGCUAUUUUUAUUCUUUUAGGCGUAAUAUUAACUGGUUGCGUAAUACGGCGUUCAAUAUUUUUUAAAUAUUGUACGUAACCAGGGUAUAUAUUUAUUUUUUAUUAAAUACGUUUUUAAUAUCGUAUAUUAAAAUUUUUACAAUAUUUAUUUCCGAACGUUUAAUUAAAACGCCGAUUUAUUACGAAUUUAAUAUUUGGUAUUUAAUAAUUAAAUAACCCAAUUUUUUUAUUAUUAACCUUUCGAAUUUUUUCCCCAAAUAUAAUAAUAAAAUAAUAGGGCGCCAUUUUUUUAAUAUUUUUGCAUUUUUAUUAAAUUUUUUUAAUAUUAUUACGCUGGCGUUUUGGAAAUUUUUGGGGUGGUAUUUUUGUGCAAUAUAUUUUUCGUACAGUUUUUUUACGUGCGUUUUAAUAUAUUACCACGCGGUUUUAAAUAUACGGAUUAUAAUACCGUUUAUUUUUGGGGUUAUAUUUUUUACCCCAUAUAUUAUUUUAUAUAUUUCGUCGGUUAAUAUUUUGUUUUUUUAUUCAAAAUUCUUUAUACGUAUAAAAAUAUUUAGGAAUUUUUUAUAUUUUUUAAAUUAUUUUUUUCCAAUAAUAUUUAUUUUAAUAUUUUAAUUUUAUUUUUUGGAUUUAAAAUUAUUUUCCCCUAAUAUUAUAUUAGGUACGCCGUAAAUUUAUUUCCGGGCGUAUAUUAUUUAAUUAACUAGUAUAAUUUUUGGUCCGUAUUAAUUUCUUCCAUUUAUUUAUCGAAUAUUAUUUUUUUGGUUUGUUUUACCGCGUUUUUUAAAAAUUAUUUCGCAAUUACCGUUUUUUAUUUUUUUAAAUUAUAUAAUUUCCAAUAUAUAACGUUUUUUUGAAUUUUUUCGCAUUUGUUAUUUUACCAAAUUUCAUAUUUGCUUUUUCCAAUUAAUUUCCCUAUAAUUUUUAAUAUAUUUGUAAAAAAAAAUUUUAAUUUGGUGGCGUAAUUAUCGAAUUGUUUUUGGGUGGCGUUUUUUGGGGUUAGUAUAAAUUAUUGGUUAUAUUUUGCGAUUACCGCCGCGUAUUUCGUUAUAUUUUGCGCAUUAUUUCGGAACGUUACCCGUUUCGGAAAUAAUUCCGUAUUUCUUUUAAUGGAAUUAAUAUAAUAAAUAUUUCGUAAUUGGAUUUUAUUUAAAUGUAAAA
rnacentral:sRNA from 1 species